rnacentral:rRNA from 1 species
AAAAUAAAAAAUUAAUAAUGGGGGUUAUUAAUAAAAAAAAAUUUAUUUAAAUUAAGUUAAAGUAUAAUUUAUUGAAAAAAUUAAUUAAAUUUAUAGUAUAAUAGUAUUGUAAAAGAAUUUUGAAAAUAUUUGAAAAUAAAUUUAUUUAAAAGUAAUUUUAAUUUGAUGUAUCUUGUGUAUCAGAGUUUUUUAAUAAGAUAAUUAAUUUUAAUUUUUUUCGAAUUUAAAAGAGAUAAUUAAUUAUAAGAGUUAUUGUAGUAUAAUUAUUUUAAAUAGUUAAUUUGAAAUGAAAUGUUAGUCGUUUUUAAAUAUAUCUAAUUUUUUUAGAAAAAAAUUUAAUUUAAAAUUAAAUAUAGAAAUAAAUUAAUUGAAGUGAUUUAUAAUUUAUUUUUAUAUUUAAUUUAAUAUUUUAAGGGAUAAGCUUUAAAUUAAAUUUUUAUAAUUUAUUAAGAAAAAUAAAAUUUUUAUUAUUUAUAUUGUAAAUAAAUUUUAUUUUAUUAUAAAUAAUUUUAUAUUAAUUAAAAAUUUAAUUAAUAAAUUUAAUUUUUUAUAAAAAAAAAUAUUAUUUAAUUAUUUUAUUUUAGUUAUAAUGAAAAAAUUAGUAUAAAUUUAUAUUUAAAAUUGUUUAUUAAUUUGAUAAUUAAUUUUAAGGAAUUCGGCAAAAAUUUAUAUUCACUUGUUUAUCAAAAACAUGUCUUUUUGGUUUAAUUUAAAGUCUAAUCUGCCCACUGAUAAUAUUGAAGGGCUGCAGUAUUUUGACUGUACAAAGGUAGCAUAAUCAUUAGUCUCUUAAUUGGUGACUUGUAUGAAAGAUUGGAUGAAAUAUAAACUGUCUUGAGAUUAUAUUUUUAGAAUUUAAUUUUUUAAUUAAAAAGUUAAAAUAUUUUAAAAAGACGAGAAGACCCUAUAGAGUUUAAUAAUUUAAUUUAAUUGAAAGUAUUUAUAAAUAAUAUAUUAUUUUAAAAUUAUUUAAGUUAUUUAAUUGGGGUGAUUUAAAAAAUUUAAUUAACUUUUUUUUUUGUUUCACAUAAAUAAGUGGUUUAUUGAUCCAUUUUUAAUGAUUAUAAGAAAAAAUUACCUUAGGGAUAACAGCGUAAUUUUUUUUUUUAGUUCAUAUAAAAAGAAGAGUUUGCGACCUCGAUGUUGGAUUAAGAUAAAAUUUAAAUGUAAAAGUUUGAAGUUUUGAUCUGUUUCGAUCAUUAAAAUCUUACAUGAUCUGAGUUCAAACCCGGUGUGAGCCAGGUUGGUUUCUAUCUUUUAAUAAAUAAAAUAUUUUAGUACGAAAGGAUCAAAUAUUUAAAUUAAAUUUAAUUAAAUGAAUUUUAUUAAAUAGUAUGUGUAAAAUUAAUAAUUAUUAGAAUUUUAUUAAUUUAUUACUAUUUUGGCAGAA